GAAGGAGAUGUAGCUAGCCACCCUCACGCAGACUUCCAGGACAUCAUUAAGGAAAUUCACUCACUUAAAGCAGAGUUUAAAACCGAGUUUGCCACGUUUAAGAAAGACAUCACACAAGAAAUGAAGGACGAAUUCGACAGCUUCAAGAAAGACAUUAAUACAAAGCUGGCAGAAACUGCGAACGAGCUAGCUAGCCAUGAGACCAGACUCGAAGAAGCUGAGGAAAGACUGGAAGAGAUGGAAAGGUGGAAUUUGGCCGCAAAAGACGCUCUAAUCCAGUCGCUUCAGCAACAACGGAAUAUUCAGACGAAACUGGCUGACUUGGAAGGCCGUAGCCGACGGAACAACAUUCGCAUUUUCGGCCUAAAAGAGGGCUCUGAAGGAAACUCUGUGCUGCAGUGUGUGGAGGACUUGUUGAGAGCUGAGCUUUCGCUCCCGCCGGAUUCUGCUCUAAAUAUUCAGCGGGCGCACAGAGCUCUGGUGCCAAAACCCGGACCAGAAAAACCUCCGCGAUCGGUGGUGGUUAAUUUUCUUCAGUUCUCAACCAAGGAGAUGGUGCUGAAGGCAGCGUGGAAGAAAAAGGUGGUACAUCAGGAUAAGCAGCUUUUCUUUGAUCAUGACUACGCUGCCGACGUGGUUCAAAAGAGGAAGGAAUACGCUGGAAUUAAGAAAGCCUUAAAAGAAAGAGGAAUUCGCUUCCAGACGCCUCUGACCAGAAUCAGGAUCCACUGGGAGAGCGGCGCCAGGACAUAUGACAGUGGCCGGGCGGCGGCGGAGGAGCUAAGGAGGAGAGGAAUACAGGCGGAGGUGCCGCAGCGGAGCGGGGAAAGCACGAUGCUGGAGGAGCGACUGCAAAAUGCAUUGGGAUGGCAGCGAUCUAACACCGAGAACUUAUAAGUGAGGAUACAAACAUUUGAAUCCGGUGGAAAUGACUGAACAGUAGAACUCUGAAACUAAAGGUUCAUUACUCUGUUACUUUUCAAGGCAAGGUAGACCGGAAAGUGGUAGGUUUUCUUUUCUUUUCUUUUUUCUUAAGGAACCUAUGUUGGAUCUCACGGGGGCCCCUAAUCUGAAAGGGAUAUACCCCACGAACCACAGGGACGCUGUGGGUAAGAAAUACGUAUUUUCAGUUUCUCUUAAGUUUCUUGUUAUCUUGUUCCAAGUUCUUAGAGUUAGUGUGGGAUGCUAUGAUAGUGAUAAGCCAAAAAUAAAGCAAAACUUAACAGUGAAAAGAUGAGGAAUAUAACGCUGGUGUCAAUGACUGUCAAUGGGAUGAAUAACCCAAUUAAAAGAAGCAAAGUGAUAUUCAAAAUGAGAAAGCUUAAUGCCAAUGUAAUAUAUCUUCAGGAAACACAUUUGUCGCAGGAAGAGCAUGAUAAAUUGAAGAAAUUUGGGUACAGAAAUUCUUACUAUAGUACUUGCAAGAAAAGUCGUAAAAGGGGGGUAGCAAUACUUGUUA
ensembl:lncRNA